GGAGCGGCCGAUGUCUGAUUAGCUAGUUGGUGGGGUAAAGGCCUACCAAGGCGACGAUCAGUAGUUGGUCUGAGAGGACGACCAGCCACACUGGGACUGAGACACGGCCCAGACUCUACGGGAGGCAGCAGUGGGGAAUUUUGGACAAUGGGCGCAAGCCUGAUCCAGCAAUGCCGCGUGAGUGAAGAAGGCCUUCGGGUUGUAAAGCUCUUUCAGUCGAGAAGAAAANGCUGCNGUNAAUAACUGUAGUUCAUGACGGUAUCGACAGAAGAAGCACCGGCUAACUACGUGCCAGCAGCCGCGGUAAUACGUAGGGUGCGAGCGUUAAUCGGAAUUACUGGGCGUAAAGGGUGCGCAGGCGGCUUUGUAAGUCAGAUGUGAAAUCCCCGGGCUUAACCUGGGAAU
rnacentral:rRNA from 1 species